rnacentral:lncRNA from 1 species
AUGAAACAUUAUGCCACAUCAUUAGUAGCAUUCUGGACAUUUCCCCUCAAUGAUGACCUUAACAUAAAUUGGCAAAUAAUUUUUUUAAAAAUAAAAAAAAAACACAGAAAACAGUUGCUCAUCUUUCCUCUCAACUUUUUCCUAUGCCUAGUAAUUUCACGAUGCCUUAAACAAUUUUCCAACUUUCAUUCCAUUAUAAGUACAAUUACUUACCAUAGUUUUUUUCUUUUUAAUUCUAUUUGUCCUAUUUUUAUUUUCUCCUUACCAAUUCUUCCCAUUUUCAGCCCUAUCCCUAAUCAGUUGUUCAUCACUGAAGCUAAAGUUGUUUACUCCACCCGGUCUUGAAUGGAUUCUUCUACCACAAAUUUACAACCAAAAUUCUCACGUAGCCAUAUUGUAAAACUUCUUACCACAGUCCCCAAAUCUAAUGGACAAAGGUAGUAUGGGGGGUGGCGACAUAUUUGACUUUUAAGCCUAAAAAAUCCUGAAGUGCAUUACUGCUAUGAGUAAGGAAAAAGAGUAAACCUGAUGGGUCCUCUAUAGGCGUAGGCUACACAUUUCUUUUCUUUUCCAGGUUUAUGUUCAAGUUGAAAUUGUUAUUAAAUAAUGUUUAUAGGCUAAGAAUGAAACUAGUUUAUCAUUUGAGAAGCCUUCUGGGGUCAGAGAAAGCAACUGUAACAUUAGAUAAGACAAAAUUACAAGAAUAUGAAACAGAAAUUAAACAACUUGAGUGAUCUGCUUAUCCAUUUAAGAAGGUACAGAUAACUACUAAUUUCACAUUAGGCCUCAAAAAAAAAAAAAAUAAAGAAAAAUCUUAAAAGGGACUCUACCAGUAAGAGGGAUUUGGAUGGCAAGAAAUAGCAUUGGAAGCAUUGAUACAAUUUACAAACAGGUAAACUUCCCAAGACAGAAUCCCAAUACUAAUAGCUGUUCUAUGUAAAGAGCUGUAUGUAAAAAAGAAACCAACUGGGAGAAAAAUUAAGGAAAUAUGGAAGUGGUGACGCAUUAAAAUAUUUAUCAUUUGACAUCACAGGCCUAUGAAGGGUUAUAUGAAGUAAUUUCUAAAAUCGAUUUGCUUUGUAACUUCCAAGUAAAGCGAGCCUAUAACUCAAUGACAGCAGUUGGUAGAGGUCAACUCUUCUAUUGAGGCAAAGAUCCUACGGUGAGUUGAAAGUCUCCCAG